rnacentral:rRNA from 1 species
UACGUAGGGGGCAAGCGUUGUCCGGAAUCAUUGGGCGUAAAGCGCGUGUAGGCGGCCCGGUAAGUCCGCUGUGAAAGUCGGGGGCUCAACCCUCGGAUGCCGGUGGAUACUGUCGGGCUAGAGUGCGGGAGAGGCGAGUGGAAUUCCUGGUGUAGCGGUGAAAUGCGCAGAUAUCAGGAGGAACACCAAUUGCGAAGGCAGCUCGCUGGAACGUUACUGACGCUGAGACGCGAAAGCGUGGGGAGCGAACGGG